rnacentral:rRNA from 1 species
AAAUAAAAGAUUAUUAAUUGUAUUUAGUAAAGUAGAUUUUUAAUAUAAAUAAAUUUAAUUUAGAUAUUUUUUGUAUUAUUUAAAGAUAAAAUAAUUUUUAUUAUAGUAAAUUAGUAUUGAUAAAGAAUUUUGAAAAAUUUAUUAUUUAAUUAAAAGUAAUAUUUAUUUUGUGUACCUUUUGUAUCAGGGUUUAUUAAUUAAGUAUUAAUGAUUUUAUAGUUCUCGAAUUUAAAGGGGCUAAUUUAAUAUGAUAGUUUAUGUUUUAUAAUAAUUAUAAAUUUUAAAUUAGUAAUGAAAUGUUAUUCGUCUUUAAAUAUAUCUAGUUUUUUAAGAAAUAAAUUUAAUUUACAUAUUAAUAAUAUAAUAUUUUUUAUUUAAAAAUUAAUUGUUUGUUAAUAUGAAUAUAUUAAGGGAUAAGCUUUAAUUUAUUGAAUUAUAAUUUUAUAUAAGUAAAAAUUAAUUGUAGAUUUAGAAAUAGUUAUCAAUAAAAAUUUUGUAUUAAUUUAUAAGAAUGGUUUAAUGUUUUAUAGAAUUUAAUUUUAGUAUUAAAAUAUAUUUUUUAAUAAUAAAAAAAGUAGUAAUAAUGAUGAAAUUAGUAUAUAUUAUUUAUUAAUUUUAUAAUUUAGUAAAAAUUAAUUUAAGGAAUUCGGCAAAAUAAUAUUCACCUGUUUAACAAAAACAUGUCUUUUAGAAAAUAAUUUAAAGUCUAACCUGCCCACUGAAUAGUUUUGAAGGGCCGCAGUAUUUUGACUGUGCAAAGGUAGCAUAAUCAUUAGUCUUUUAAUUAAAGGCUUGUAUGAAUGGUUGGAUGAAAUAUUAACUGUCUCAAAUUAAUAAAAUAGAAUUUAAUUUUUAAGUUAAAAAGCUUAAAUAAAAUUAGAGGACGAGAAGACCCUAUAGAUCUUUAUAUUUUUAUUUUUAAUUUUUAUUUGGAAUAGAAAAUAUUUUUAAUAAUAAUAAUAUUUUAUUGGGGUGAUAAUUAAAUUUAGUUAACUUUAUUUAAUAAAAACAUUAAUUUAUGAAUAAUUGAUCCAUUAUUAGUGAUUAGAAGAUUAAGUUACCUUAGGGAUAACAGCGUAAUUUUUUUAGAGAGUUCUUAUCGAUAAAAGAGUUUGCGACCUCGAUGUUGAAUUAAAGAUUAAUUUAGGUGCAGUAGUUUAAAUGUUUGGUCUGUUCGACCAUUAAAUCUUUACAUGAUUUGAGUUCAAACCGGCGUGAGCCAGGUUGGUUUCUAUCCUUAAUAAAAUAAAAUAUUUUAGUACGAAAGGACCAAAUAUUUAAAAAAGUUUUUUUUAUAAGAAUAGUAUUAAU